CACACACACACACACACACACACACACACACACACACACACACACACACACACACACACACACACACACUUCUAGAGUUUAGAGAAUAAAGUGAUGGGAAAACCGGAAAUGGUUAAAUAAACCGGUUAUAGGAAGCAGGAGCUACACUAUGAAUUGUAGGUGCUUUAUUCCAUUUAUUCCAUAGAUCUCAGUGAUGACUUUUGGGAACUAAGUGGCGAAUUCAGGUGAAUAGGGAGAAUUCAUAGUGACUACAAUCAACAAUAGAAUAAAUAUUAACAUUAUUUGGCUGGUGUGUUUCAAGCGACACAUCUUUCAAAAUCUGUACUUCCAGACCCAAUAUUAUAUAAAUCCAGACUUGGACAAUCAAUUACGUGAUUACAGACAUAACCGGAAAUGCAGGCUAAUCAAUAGUUAAUUGAUUUUAUUUUCUGCUCUGCCUUCCUAUCGACUGUGGUUGUCUACAAAUUCUUGUCUUCAUCUGAAUAAUUUUGCACAGUCUAAUGUCGGUAGAGAGCAAGCGUAUAUUUUCCCCCACACGAUAAUAAGACAGAAUAAGAAGCCCAUCGCCAAUUGGAAGACUCACCCUCACGUGCCGAUUGUCACGUGGUAAUUUUGAAUGGGAGUGAUUUUGGUGUAAAUCUUUUCUAGACUGUAAUUCUAUAAAAUCUAAAUUUAGCUCGUUAUAGAUACUCUAAAACCCAAAUCGUGUAUUAUUCUAACAGUUUUCCCCCUCAAUACAGAGCUACGAGUUUAGACUUUCUAAAGGGUGCCUUUCCCGAGCAAACCUCUUGCACAUUGGCUUCUACUUUACAGUGGACCAGCGCGUAUGGUACGAACACUGCACCGUUUUCGGUCUUACCUCCUUGUCCUCAGCCCCUUUGCCAAGCUUGGACAAUAACAGUGAUAGCCUUUCCACCCAGAGCCAGGGUAGGAACUCCUUACCGAAUAACCCAGACAGAAGUUUGGACAGUUUUAACCCGAGGCAGAGAGUUAUGUGUGCCGAUACUUGCAGUUGCCAUCAACACGAGGACAAUCUCAGGCUAUUACCGUGGAUGAGAAAUACAGAACACGGGGUCGCCGGUCAUACACGCGCUAUCAGAUUCUAGAGCUCGAGAAGGAGUUCCAAACCACUACCUGACGUAGCGACGGCGAGUGGAAAGUUAUGGCGCGCACCUUUUGCCUGAUGGAUAAAAAUUUGGUUCCAAACCGCUGUAUGAAAUACAGAAGAACAAAAAACACAAGACAUUGCGACGUAGAGGUUUCAGACAGCAGGACAUCUAGAAGAUGAUUAAGAAGAAGAGAAGAGGAAGAUAGAGAAUAAGAGCAAGGCAGCGGAUGUCACAUUAUAUAUUUUAUACACAUAUAUAACAAAAAAUAACCUAUUCAUUCGUUUUCUAAGCGUUUUGCUUUAAGUCAAAUACUUAUGUGAUAAGUUUUACUAUUAAGAAUAGAAGUUUUGCCAAAAGAUAACAUUUAAAUGGUUUUAAAGGGCCAAAAUUUCGUCUUGUGUAUUUCCGUGUGUGUCUUAUUUGUAGGGUUAAAGACAUUAAAUGAAAGUAAAUGUGUCAAUAAAAAAUAAUGCCAAAAGCGUUGGAAUUUGUCUUGUGCUUUUAAAGUAUGGUUCUCUUUCACAUAAUAAAGGUUAAUUAAUGUCA